UGGCUGGUGUUCUAACGUGGGCCCGUAAUCCGGGUUGCGGACAGUGUCUGGUGGGUAGUUUGACUGGGGCGGUCUCCUCCUAAAGAGUAACGGAGGAGCACGAAGGUUAGCUAAUCCUGGUCGGACAUCAGGAGGUUAGUGCAAAGGCAUAAGCUAGCUUGACUGCGAGCGUGACGGCGCGAGCAGGUGCGAAAGCAGGUCUUAGUGAUCCGGUGGUUCUGAAUGGAAGGGCCAUCGCUCAACGGAUAAAAGGUACUCCGGGGAUAACAGGCUGAUACCGCCCAAGAGUUCAUAUCGACGGCGGUGUUUGGCACCUCGAUGUCGGCUCAUCACAUCCUGGGGCUGAAGUAGGUCCCAAGGGUAUGGCUGUUCGCCAUUUAAAGUGGUACGCGAGCUGGGUUUAGAACGUCGUGAGACAGUUCGGUCCCUAUCUGCCGUGGGCGCUGGAGAAUUGAGGGGGGCUGCUCCUAGUACGAGAGGACCGGAGUGGACGCAUCACUGGUGUUCGGGUUGUCAUGCCAAUGGCACUGCCCGGUAGCUAAAUGCGGAAGAGAUAAGUGCUGAAAGCAUCUAAGCACGAAACUUGCCCCGAGAUGAGUUCUCCCUGACCCUUUAAGGGUCCUGAAGGAACGUUGAAG
rnacentral:rRNA from 1 species